rnacentral:rRNA from 1 species
UACGGAGGGUGCAAGCGUUGCUCGGAAUUAUUGGGCGUAAAGGGCAGGUAGGUGGUCUCAUUUGUCUGGGGUGAAAGCCUUGAGCUUAACUCAAGAAGUGCCCUAGAAACGGUGAGACUAGAGUCCUGGAGAGGGUCGUGGAAUUCCCGGUGUAGCGGUGAAAUGCGUAGAGAUCGGGAGGAACACCAGAGGCGAAGGCGGCGACCUGGACAGGUACUGACACUCAACUGCGAAAGCGUGGGGAGCAAACAGG